rnacentral:rRNA from 1 species
UAGGGAAUCUUCCACAAUGGGCGAAGCCNGAUGGAGCAACGCCGCGUGUGUGAUGAAGGUUUCGGCUCGUAAAACUCUGUUGUUAAAGAAGAACAUAUCUGAGAGUAACUGUUCAGGUAUUGACGGUAUUUAACCAGAAAGCCACGGCUAACUACGUGCCAG